rnacentral:rRNA from 1 species
UACAGAGGUCUCAAGCGUUGUUCGGAUUCAUUGGGCGUAAAGGGUGCGUAGGUGGCGAGGUAAGUUCGAUGUGAAAUCUCCGAGCUCAACUCGGAAAUGGCAUUGAAUACUAUCCCGCUGGAGGGUCGGAGGGGAGACUGGAAUUCUCGGUGUAGCAGUGAAAUGCGCAGAUAUCAGGAGGAACACCGAUGGCGAAGGCAGGUCUCUGGGCCACUACUGACGCUGAGGAACGAAAGCUAGGGGAGCAAACAGG